rnacentral:rRNA from 1 species
UGAACGCUGGCGGCAGGCUUAACACAUGCAAGUCGAGCGGUACACAGGGGAGCUUGCUCCCCGGGUGACGAGCGGCGGACGGGUGAGUAAUGUCUGGGAAACUGCCUGAUGGAGGGGGAUAACUACUGGAAACGGUAGCUAAUACCGCAUAACGUCGCAAGACCAAAGAGGGGGACCUUCGGGCCUCUUGCCAUCAGAUGUGCCCAGAUGGGAUUAGCUAGUAUGUGGGGUAAUGGCUCACCUAGGCGACGAUCCCUAGCUGGUCUGAGAGGAUGACCAGCCACACUGGAACUGAGACACGGUCCAGACUCCUACGGGAGGCAGCAGUGGGGAAUAUUGCACAAUGGGCGCAAGCCUGAUGCAGCCAUGCCGCGUGUGUGAAGAAGGCCUUCGGGUUGUAAAGCACUUUCAGCGAGGAGGAAGGUGGUGAGCUUAAUACGCUCAUCAAUUGACGUUACUCGCAGAAGAAGCACCGGCUAACUCCGUGCCAGCAGCCGCGGUAAUACGGAGGGUGCAAGCGUUAAUCGGAAUUACUGGGCGUAAAGCGCACGCAGGCGGUUUGUUAAGUCAGAUGUG